rnacentral:misc_RNA from 1 species
UACGGAGGGUGCAAGCGUUAAUCGGAAUUACUGGGCGUAAAGGGCGCGUAGGCGGCUCGUCAAGCCGGAUGUGAAAGCCCCGGGCUCAACCCGGGAACGGCAUUCGGAACUGGCUGGCUAGAGUGCAGAAGAGGAGAGUGGAAUUCCAUGUGUAGCGGUGAAAUGCGCAGAGAUAUGGAGGAACACCAGUGGCGAAGGCGGCCUUCUGGACUGACACUGACGCUGAGGUGCGAAAGCGUGGGUAGCAAACAGG